rnacentral:rRNA from 1 species
AUUGAACGCUGGCGGCAGGCCUAACACAUGCAAGUCGAGCGAGCGGCGGACGGGUGAGUAAUGUCUGGGAAACUGCAUGAUGGGGGGGGAUAACUACUGGAAACGGUAGCUAAUACAGCAUACCAUCAGAUGUGCCCAGAUGGGAUUCGUUAGUAGGUGGGGUAACGGCUCACCUAGGCGACGCUCCCUAGCUGGUCUGAGAGGAUGACCAGCCACACUGGAACUGAGACACGGUCCAGACUCCUACGGGAGGCAGCAGUGUGGAAUAUUGCACAAUGGGCGCAAGCCUGAUGCAGCCAUGCCGCGUGUGGGAAGAAGGCCUUCGGGUUGUAAAGCACUUUCAGCGGGGAGGCGUUACCCGCAGAAGAAGCACCGGCUAACUCCGUGCCAGCAGCCGCGGUAAUUC